AUGCCGGACAAGGCGGUGGACGACGCCAUGGAGUCCGCGGUGGGGGCCCACUUCAGCGGCCUCCGUCUCGAGGCGCUGCGCCUCCCCGCCCCCUCCGGGCCCUCCUCCCCCUCCUCCUCCACCUCCGCCGGCGCCGCCGCCGCCCUCGCCAACGGGCUCGCCCACGCCGGCGCCGACGUCGCCUCCCCCUCCUCACUCAGGCAGCCCUUCGUCAUCGGGGUUUCGGGCGGGACGGCCUCGGGGAAGACCACGGUGUGCGACAUGAUCAUCCAGCAGCUCCACGACCACCGCGUCGUGCUCGUCAACCAGGAUUCAUUUUACCGUGGCUUAACUGCUGAAGAAUCUGCAAGUGCUCAGGACUACAACUUCGAUCAUCCUGACGCAUUUGAUACGGAGCAACUUCUUGAAUGCAUGGGGCAACUAAAACGUGCAUUGCCUGUAAAUGUUCCUAUAUAUGACUUUAAAAAUCACCGAAGGUGCUCAGAAAGGUUCCGAAAGGUCAAUGCAUCAGAUGUCAUUAUUUUGGAGGGCAUUUUAGUCUUCCAUGAUCAAAGGGUUCGCAAUCUGAUGGACAUGAAAAUUUUUGUGGACACAGAUGCAGAUAUUAGGCUUGCCCGGCGAAUAAGGCGUGAUACAGUUGAAAGAGGUAGAGAUGUUAGCUCGGUGCUUGAUCAGUAUGGGAGGUUUGUGAAGCCAGCAUUUGAUGAUUUUGUUCUGCCUUCAAAAAAAUAUGCUGAUGUGAUCAUACCACGCGGAGGUGAUAACCAUGUUGCAAUUGACCUGAUCGUUCAACAUAUUCGUACAAAGCUUGGUAUGCAUGACUUGUGCAAAGUCUUCCGAAACGUCUUUGUAGUUCAAUCAACUUUCCAGAUCCGAGGAAUGCAUACUCUGAUUCGUGAUAGGGAUAUCACUACACCUGACUUUGUCUUUUAUUCAGAUCGAUUAAUACGUUUGGUAGUUGAGCAUGGUUUGGGCCAUUUGCCAUUUACAGAAAAGCAGAUUAUUACUCCAACAGGAUCUGUUUAUACGGGAGUUGAUUUCUGCAAGAAGCUCUGCGGAGUGUCUAUUGUCCGAAGUGGUGAAAGUAUGGAGAAUGCUUUGCGUGCUUGCUGUAAAGGAAUAAAAAUUGGCAAAAUUUUGAUACAUCGUGUUGGAGAUAAUGGACAGCAACUCAUAUACCACAAACUGCCAAUGGACAUAGAUGAACGGCAUGUUCUGCUUUUGGAUCCGGUGCUUGGCACAGGGAACUCAGCAAAUCAAGCUAUAGAUCUUCUUCGAAGGAAAGGCGUUGCUGAGGAGAGGAUCAUAUUCCUCACUCUCAUCUCGGCACCCGAAGGGAUUCAAUGUGUGUGUACGCGAUUUCCGAAGUUGAAGCUUGUGACGUCAGAGAUAGAUACCGGGCUGAGUGAGGAAUUCAGAGUCAUCCCAGGUUUGGGAGAGUAUGGUGAUCGCUACUUCGGCACAGACAACUGA
rnacentral:rRNA from 1 species